AUGAUGUAUUCUUCAUGUUCUACAGUGAACUGGAGGAGGAUGUCCCUCUUGGCUGCUGAGAUUCCCUCAAUAUUGAAGUGCACCAUCUUGAGAGCUGACCUCAACACAAGAUUGUCAAGACGUUGGGGCUUAUGGAGGACGACAACAAGUUGCUCAAGAAAAGGAAAAUAAACUUCUGGCUGUAGGUGAGAGGCAAAAGGGAAUGGGAUUAAAGUUACACAGCUUGGAACAUUCAAAGACCUGGGACAGAAGGGCAGCCAUUCCCCAAGCAGUGCUUCCAUGUUAUUGACUGAGACCAUUUGGAGGAAUGGGGAAGGCGAAACUGUAGGGGACUGGCGAAAAGUGACCAGGGGUAUUUUCUGAACGUCACUAAUUAUAGAAAUUGAAACUAUGUACUUCAUGAAUAUUAAAUUAUGUCCCUGUCAACUGUGUUUCUUUCAAGGAUAUUGGCAAACUGUGCUUUUCUGACUAGACAGAUAAGGCAGUGCAGUGUUCAAAGGGGAAGUAGAUUCAGAAACAGUCCCAUCCACCAAGUAUUGUUGCCCCUUUUCGAACUGAGAAGCUAGUCAAAGUUUGAGACCCCAGGGAUGUUCCUGUUCAAAGUAGAAUUGAUUGAGUCUGGUAUUUUCUUUGGUGCAAUCUUGUUUAUUUACAAGGAAUGUGAGAAGGCCUGUCUCUGAAUGCAGAAGGAACCAAGAACAAAAGGAUCAGUUUCUUAGCUUACCACCCCCAGCCUCUUAACUAAUGUCAGAGCCAAAAGCGUUCUCUCUCUCGCUAGCUUUUUCCAGGGUCCCACUGUACCUAUAGACUCCUGCUUGGCUUUCUUGCCUCUCACUCUCUCUCUGUGUUCUUACUUGUUCUCAAUGUUUGUGUGGAACUCGUUGCCAGGGGAUGUUCUGAAGGCCAAAACUAUAACAGGGUUAAAAAAAGAAUGAGAUAAGUUCAUGGAGGGUAGGUCAGGGAUGCAAUUCCAGGCUCUGGGUGUCCCUAGCCUCUAUUUGCCAGAAGCUGGGAGUGGAUGACAGGGUAUGGAUCAAAAACAACAAGGAGUCUGGUGGCACCUUAAAGACUAACAGAUUAAUUUGGGCAUAAGCUUUCGUGGGUAAAAACCUCACUUCUUCAGAUGAUUGUCUGUUUAUUCCUUCAGAAACAUCUGACAUUGGCUACUGUC
rnacentral:lncRNA from 1 species